rnacentral:rRNA from 1 species
UACGUAGGGUGCGAGCGUUGUCCGGAAUUAUUGGGCGUAAAGGGCUCGUAGGCGGUCUGUUGCGUCAGGAGUGAAAACUCGGGGCUUAACCCCGAGCCUGCUUCUGAUACGGGCAGACUAGAGGUAUGCAGGGGAGAACGGAAUUCCUGGUGUAGCGGUGAAAUGCGUAGAGAUCCGGAGGAACACCAGUGGCGAAGGCGACACGCUGGGCCGUACCUGACACUGAUGCGCGACAGCAUGGGGAGCAAACAGG